UGCAUCGGAAUCGACCCUCGUCCAGUCGUCCGCGCCUCUCCUGGUCCCGCAACGCGCCACUUCCACCAGAUUCUCCCCGCAUAGCAUCGGUUUAAAUCUUGAUUUGCAAACUUUUAAUGAUGAUGAAGAUGUUGAAAGUGAUCAAGAAUAAGGGUUGAAGAUCAUUUUAUAUCUAAUAUUGUAAUUUCU